rnacentral:misc_RNA from 1 species
GGAAGUAAAAGUCGUAACAAGAUUUCCGUAGGUGAACCUGCGGAAGGAUCAUUACAGAGUCCAUGCCCUCACGGGUAGACCUCCCACCCUUGAAUAUUUAUACCUUAGUUGCUUUGGCAGGCCGUGGAAACACCAUGGGCUCCGGCUUAUGCGUGCCUGCCAGAGGAAACAAACUCUGUUUUUAGUGAUGUCUGAGUACUAUAUAAUAGUUAAAACUUUCAACAACGGAUCUCUUGGUUCUG